ACCCUCUAUUUCUCUUUCCCAUUAGAUCUUAAUGCUGAGCUCAGUGGUCGUAAUGGAGGAAGAGAACACUAAAGCUGGUCUCACCUAAGUCUAGUCUAGUAUACAGAAUAGGGCCAGAUUUGAAGAAGC